UUUUUUUUUUUUUUUUUUUGGUCUUUCGAGACAGGGUUUCUCUAUAUAGCCCUGGCUGUCCUGGAGCUCACUUUGUAGACCAGGCUGGCCUCGAACUCAGAAAUCCGCCUGCCUCUGCCUCCCGAGUGCUGGGAUCAAAGGCGUGCGCCACCACGCCCGGCCCCCUUCCCUCUUUUGCAUCCUCCCUGACUCCUGGAUUGAAGAGAAUGAACGGGAGCUAGAAGUCAUGCAGGGCUGUUCCUGGGGCGCAGGGCAGUGAUUGUUCGUGGGUGACAUAAAUCUCUUUAAGGACACAGAGCUGCGUCUAGACUGUGUGCUCUCCACUGACCGGUCUCUCACCGUCAUGGGUCACUUUCUUGGAUUUUUGCUGCAUUUGAGCUUUACACAGUUUUCCUCCCUCACCCCUCUCUCUGAGACAGUCUCAUGUAUCACAGGUGAGCCUUGUAUUCAAGAUGUCGUUGAAGAUGACCUUGAACUGCUGAUUCUCCUGCCUCCACCUCCCAAGUUUUGAGAUUACAGGCUAGCCCGACUCCAUGUGGGGUUGUGGGGUCCUAGGUGGCUGUGGUCAGCUCAUGAAUGGUAUGUCAGGAGCUCCAGAGAGCGAGUCCGUGGGAGGUGAGCUGAGUGCUCCAGUGAACAGGCAUCCAAGCACAGAGGGCCAACGGAGCAAGACAGGACCCGGGCCUCGGCCCUCACCCUGCUCCACUGGAAGACUCUGGUGGCUGGUUGGGGCCCAGUAUGAGUGGGGCCCCCAUGAGUGUAUGGAGAAGGCCUACCCGGCGUGAAGCUUUCUGUCUCCACACCCAAGCUUAUACUUCAUCUGCUAUCACCUCCCUCCUCCUCUGUCCUUUGGGCCCAUUGCAGCACUCCUCUGUAGGCUCCAGGAGGUGCACAUGUGUUUUCAAUUGUAAAAACAAUGCAUGCUCAUAGCAAGCCUUCAAACUGUCCAGAAGGCACAGAAAAGAGAGCGGAAGCCCCACCUUCCUCCCACUCUCCUACCCACCUAGAGCUUUCUUAGUGGAUUCCCUGGAGGGUUUCGUUUUAACUGUAUGUCUCUGUGCUCUGCUCCACAUCAGCUCCCGUGGCCUGGGCCAGACCCAGAUCCACACAGCAUGCAUUGAAGAUGUUGCACAGGAUGGCUAUGGAGGGGAGGUGUGUGUGACAUACAGAGAGAGAGACAGAGAGAGAGUCAGAGAGAGAGAGAGACAGAGAGAGAGAGAGACAGAGAGAAUGAGAGACAGUGAGAGAAUGUGUGUAUGCACGUGUGUGAGUGUGUAUGUGUGUGUGUGUGAGAGAGAGUAUGUGUGUGUGUAUGUGAGUAUGUAUGUGUGUGUGAGAGAGACAGAGACAUAGAGACAGAGUGAGAGAGUAUGUAUAUGCACAUGUAUGAGUGUGUAUGUGUGUGAGAGAGUGAGAAUGUGUGAGUGUGUGUAUGUAUGUGUGUGAACGUGUGUGUGUGUGUGUGUGUGUGUGAAUGAGUAUGUGUGUGCCUCUCCUUCUUUCCCAAUGAGGUUCCUCCCAGCAGCUGAAUCUUCCCUGUAUGACAUUCUGUUAACAUUAUUACAAGUUAAAUUCAGGACGGAAUGUGACAGCAUAUAUGUAUAAUUCCAGAACUGGGGAAGUGGAGGCAGGAGGAUUAAGAAGAGUUCAAGAGCAUCUUUGACUACUUGUUGAGUUUGAGACUAACCUGGGUUACAUAGGACUCUGCCUCAAAACAUCAGGUCAAAUUAAAACAAAACAAAAGAAAUAAAAAAAUCAACUUGAAUUCAAAGCUGCAUAUAUAGAGUGGCGUAGGCCUGUUGUCCUCGGAAGGAGAGCAAGGCCAUUCUGGACUCCAGAAUGAAACUCUGUUUCAAAGAAAUAAAAUCCAUGAGUUCGGGUUCAACGUU